AUCCUGCCAGUAGUCAUAUGCUUGUCUCAAAGAUUAAGCCAUGCAUGUCUAAGUAUAAGCGACUUGUACUGUGAAACUGCGAAUGGCUCAUUAAAUCAGUUAUGGUUUAUUUGAUGGUACCUUACUACUUGGAUACCCGUAGUAAUUCUAGAGCUAAUACAUGCAGGAGGUCCCGACUUCGGAAGGGAUGUAUUUAUUAGAUAAGAAACCAACCCGGCUUGCCGGUUGCGUGCUGAGUCACAAUAACUGCUCGAAUCGCAUGGCCUUGUGCCGGCGAUGGUUCAUUCAAAUUUCUGCCCUAUCAGCUUUCGAUGGUAGGAUAGAGGCCUACCAUGGCGUUAACGGGUAACGGAGAAUUAGGGUUCGAUUCCGGAGAGGGAGCCUGAGAAAUGGCUACCACAUCCAAGGAAGGCAGCAGGCGCGUAAAUUGCCCGAAUCCUGACACAGGGAGGUAGUGACAAGAAAUAACAAUACAGGGCUCUUUCGAGUCUUGUAAUUGGAAUGAGUACAAUUUACAUCUCUUCACGAGGAUCAAUUGGAGGGCAAGUCUGGUGCCAGCAGCCGCGGUAAUUCCAGCUCCAAUAGCGUAUAUUAAAGUUGUUGCAGUUAAAACGCUCGUAGUCGGAUUUCGGGGCGGGCCGACCGGUCUGCCGAUGGGUAUGCACUGGCCGGCGCGUCCUUCCACCCGGAGACCGCGCCUACUCUUAACUGAGCGGGCGCGGGAGACGGGUCUUUUACUUUGAAAAAAUCAGAGUGUUUCAAGCAGGCAGCUCGCUCUUGCAUGGAUUAGCAUGGGAUAAUGAAAUAGGACUUUGGUGCUAUUUUGUUGGUUUCGAACACCGAAGUAAUGAUUAACAGGGACAGUCAGGGGCACUCGUAUUCCGCCGAGAGAGGUGAAAUUCUCAGACCAGCGGAAGACGAACCACUGCGAAAGCAUUUGCCAGGGAUGUUUUCACUGAUCAAGAACGAAAGUUAGGGGAUCGAAGACGAUCAGAUACCGUCGUAGUCUUAACCAUAAACCAUGCCGACUAGGGAUUGGAGGAUGUUCCAAUGUGACUCCUUCAGCACCUUUCGGGAAACUAAAGUCUUUGGGUUCCGGGGGGAGUAUGGUCGCAAGGCUGAAACUUAAAGGAAUU
rnacentral:rRNA from 1 species